UGCAGCUAAUCUGCACAAAUACUAUGUCUUAUGUUUUAAAUAAUUCUGUUCAAUAUAAAUGUAACUGUUAAACAAGAUAGAGCAAUGUUAUAAGAGCCUUUAUUUUGUUGAAGUAUCUCAAGUCGUCAGAGGGUGGCACUGUGUUACUAGACCAUGCACGCACGUUAGCCGAGGAAGUCAAGGCAAAGCUCAGACACAGCAGAGAACACUGAACACUGCCUCGUUCCUUUCCCACACUAAAAACGAACUUUGGAGCCUGAUUCAUGAAGGAAAAUUAAACACAACGGUUUCAGGUAGCUUUAUUACCCUAUGUGAAAUAUUAUCUCGUGAUAUUGAAACGUUUUUUUUUGUGCUUUGUUCAAGCACAUUUAGCUAACUUUUCAUGUAGCUAACAGAGCACAUGUCUGUUUUCCUAGAGUGUCGCAGCUGCAGCUUUCAAGCUUAGACCAUCAUUGUUUAGCACCCUUGGUCGGCGGAAUAAGGUAAUAGGAUGAGGUUUAUAUUUGGGUUUAUAAAAUGUAUUUUAUUUCUGUCACGUUUCAUUGUAAUUAUACAUUUGAUGCUCUAAAAUUGUCAAUCUCCAUGUACAAUAUAUUUUGUGAACCUAGACAGAAUAUAUUCUGAUAUCGUGUACAAUUGUUUGUCUAGUUUUCACGAUGCUCAGAGAGGAGAAGGCGAAGGUGGAGAAAAAUAAAGGCAACUAGAGCAUCAGUCGAGACUACCGUACCAAUCAUUCCAAGGGCCAGCUACAGUGAAAACUUACCGCAUCCAGGCGCAGCCAAGUGAAGGAGGACGCUUCUUCCAAUCACCCCAGCGGCCAGGCGUCAUUGUCCCAUGGUACCCACAAAUGAACUCUGGUCGUACGUCAAAAUAUAUGGUAACAGUGGAAGAAGAAUGCACUUAAUUGUGACUUUAAGGGGCAUUAUUUACGGACUGUGUUAAAAGGUAUUGACUCAGCUUUUAUUUCAUGUUCAUAUUUUGAAGUGAACUGUGCAAAUGUUUUAAGCUAUUUUCCCAUUUACAAAGGAAAGAUACACAAAAUAGCAACAUGUCACUAAACGAAGAAGAUACACUUCAGCCUCUGGAAACUAAAAACUCUAACCCCAGUUCAGAGACAGUAAUCGAGGUAGACAAAAAAGUACCUAGUACAGCGAGUCAAAACUUGGAUGUUUAUAAGGAAAGGCCUGUCAGUCGGCAACGCCCCCUAACUGAGAAAGGCCGAGAGUUACUUUAUCAAGAAAACAUAAAGCGUGAGAAGGUUUUCAUUAAGUCAUAUGACUCCUGGAAACAGGCAGCAAAACAAAGUAGAGUGGCACUAAAAUCUUUAUGCUCUUCUGAAGAUCUUGAUCAUAUCCAAAGGGAUAUAAAUAUGAAACAUAAUACUGUGUGUCAACAAUAUGAACCUAUUACACGCAACCACGCUUCAACACCUAUGAUCGCAAACAAAAUGGACACCUGUAACACUUUAACUGAAGAGAUAAACACCCUUGUCGAGACACGAAUAAAGACGCUCAAAGAAAAUUACAAUGAGGAGCUAGAGAAACAAAGAGUGAGGAUGGCAUUAAGCAAGGAAGAGUAUGGAUCUGUCUUUGGACACACAGAGACUGAGACUGUAAUUACAGAUCAAUCGAAACCUCAACCAAGUUCCAUCUCAACAUCCCAUUCUAGUAAGCGUCUAGAUGCAGAGGCAGAGCUUGCAGCUAAGAGAGAGCAGGCUAAAGUAACCAAAGACAUUCAGGCCCAACAAGCUAAGGUCAUCAGACUAGAAGGUGAACUGAAGGUAGAAGAGGCGAUUAUGUUAGCUGAAUUAGAGAAGAAAAGAGCAGAGAGACUAAAUAAGCUAGAAGAGGAACGAACAAGGCUAACUCAGAUACAAGCAGAGAAAGAAGUCCAAGUAGCAGCAGCUCGGGUGAAGGCAUAUGACAGUUUCGAAAGUGAUAACGAAGAUUUUGAAAUAAAUGGUGAUCAGUUAGAGUCCAAGCCUAUGUUAAACCCAAAUGCAGCAUCCUUCAAACCUCAACCAGCACCUUCUCGAGAAGCAACACCUUUGGAGACAGUUGGCCUAGCUCAGGCAAUUGUAAGCUCUCUCAGUAUAAACCGCCUACCUGUGCCUGAACCAACUAAGUUUAAUGGUGAUCCUAUCAAAUAUGUCGACUGGAAGACAACUUUCGUGGCACUUAUUGACCAGAAACCCAUACCAGUAACAGAGAAAAUGUUUUAUCUGAAAACCUAUCUAUCUGGUGAGGCUUUGAACGCAGUAGAAGGAUUUUUCUACAAAACCUCAGAGGACGGAUACAAAGGAGCUUGGAAAGUACUAGAUGAACGAUAUGGAAACCCAUUCGUAGUGCAAAGGGCCUUCAGAAAUAAGCUUUCAAAAUGGCCAAAGAUUAGCGCUGCCGAUCCAUUAGCUCUGAGGGAAUUCACAGACUUUCUGCAAGGUUGUACAGAAGCUCAACCUCACGUAAAGGGGCUGUCUGUUCUAAACGACUGUGAAGAGAACCAGAAACUUCUCGAAAAGCUGCCCGAAUGGAUUGUGCGGAAGUGGAGCAGAGUUGUUGUGGAGGAGUUGGAUAAGUCUAACACCUAUCCUGAUUUAGCAUGCUUCACAAACUUCCUCAACAAGGAAGUCCGCAUCGUCUGUAACCCCAUCACAACUCCCUUCUUCAUGAAUACAAGGAACAAUGGCGAGAGAACACUAAAGAGGACCAGAGCUCUCAACACAACAGCACAGAUAAAGGAACCCACCAAGGUGACAAGCGUGACUAUGAAGGAGAACCAAGAGACACCUAAGCCAAAACCACCAUGCACAGUUUGUAAGGACGAAACUCACGGCAUUGCCAGGUGCCCAGUCUUCGCAUCAAAGAGCUUAGAAGAUAAAAAGGCUUUCAUUUAUGAAAACCAUCUUUGCUUUGGAUGCUUGAAGAAAGGACACUCCAGCAAAAAAUGUCUAAGGCGACACAUCUGUUGUGUUUGUCACGGUCGACAUCCCACGUGCAUGCAUGAAGAGAGAACACAAAGAAUAACAGGUGAGACAAAGAAUUACUCCUCUCCUGUAGAUAAAGCUCCUUCUCAGAAGGUCCAUGAAGUGACCUCUCAUACCUCAGUACAGAAUGUUUUGGCAACCUCAAGCAUAGUCCCAGUCCUGAUAACCUCAAAACUUGACCCACAUCGAGAGGUUCUAACAUAUGCCAUACUAGAUCAGCAAAGUGAUGCAACCUUUAUUCUUGAAGAUUUGCUCAGCAACCUAAAUGUGGAGUCACCCAAACCGACAACACUAAAACUUAGCACAAUGACUGCAGUCGACACAGUCAUACCAAGCAAGUGUGUGAGUGGACUGCAAGUUCGAGGACUUCUUUCCGGAAAACCUGUCCAAAUAAAACAAGCCUUCGCUCGUAACUUCAUUCCGGUGGACAAAUCAUAUAUUCCUACAAGAGAGACAGCUCAACAGUGGCCUCACCUGCGACAUCUGACAAACCAGAUGCCGACACUCCAGGAUUGUGAGGUAGGGCUGUUGAUUGGAUCGAACUGUCCGGCCGCACUGGCCCCAAUCGAAACGGUCGUGGGUGGAGGAAACAAACCUUUUGCACAGAGAACCGAGCUCGGUUGGAGCAUAAUAGGCCCAUCCAAUCCACAUCUGGACAGACAAGGAAGUCAGAGUUAUGUCCACAGAGUCGCAGUAAAGGAGAUUCCAACUCCGCCCGUGAUGGAUGUACUGAAAGCACUCGAGCUAGACUUCAGUGAGAGAAUCUGCGAAGAAAAGUAUGUGUCACAGGAAGAUGUUAACUUUAUACAGUUUCUCAGUAAGAACAUCAAACAGAAUGACAGACAUUUAGAGAUGCCUCUACCUUUCAAGAAUGGCUCUCCACCAACUCUACCAAACAACAAGAGACUUGCCACCGUCCGGCUCCAAAGUCUAAAAAGGAAACUGCAAUCUGAUAUUCACUACUACAACCACUAUAAAACAUUCAUGGAAGAGAUGAUCAGUCGAGGUGAUGCAGAGUUAACAUCCACACCAUGCGAAGGAGAGAUUGCUUGGUACUUGCCCCACCACGGCAUCUACCAUCCCAAAAAGCCCGACAGACUGAGAGUUGUAUUUGACUGUUCAGCAAAAUUCUGUGGUAUCGCUCUGAACGAUACUCUAAUGACUGGUCCCGAUCUCAUCAAUUCUCUCAUUGGAGUCCUCUGUCGGUUCAGAAAGGAAGAAGUGGCCAUCAUUUGCGAUGUUGAAAGGAUGUUCCACCAAUUCCUCGUCGCCCCUGAAUCCAGAAAUUAUCUGAGAUUCUUGUGGUGGGAGGGUGGAAACUUGGACAAGGAACCUCAGGAGUAUCGGAUGAAGGUCCAUAUUUUUGGAGCCUCCUCCUCCCCCGGGUGCGCCAACUUCGGAUUCAAAUAUCUGGCAAGACAACACGAAACUGACAUUCCAUCAGCAUCGGCUCUCAUCCAGAAAAACUUCUACGUUGACGACGGGUUGACCAGUGUCGCAUCAGUUGAAGAAGCAAGGAAGCUCAUGGUGGACGCACAGAAGCUGUGCGCAGGCGGAGGACUUCGCCUGCACAAGUUCAAUUCUAACAGGAAGGAAAUUUUGGACUGUGUAGAACCAUCAGAAAGAGCAACGUCCACUGAGCCUCUCGACCUGAAGCUAGAAGAAACUCAAACAGAACGAGCGCUGGGUCUCCAGUGGUUGAUAGACGAUGACAUGUUUAGCUUCAGUAUCAGCCUGAAAGACCAACCUCCAACCCGGAGAGGUAUCCUGUCAGUCGUCGCCUCACUAUACGACCCACUGGGAUUCGUCGCGCCAUUCUCACUCCGUGGAAAGUGCAUCCUACAAGAGCUGUGCAGGCGAGGAACUGGAUGGGAUGACCCACUCCCAGAUGAUCUUAAACCACGGUGGGAGGAGUGGAAACUCGGUCUCGAGGAAUUACAGGAAGUUAUGAUCCCACGAUGCUAUCACCCACCCAACUUUGGCAAAAUCAUGAGAACCGAACUUCACCACUUCGCCGAUGCCAGCUGUAAGGGUUACGGAGCAUGUUCAUAUUUAAGAGUAAAGAAUGACAAGGAUGAAGUCCACACAAGUCUGGUAAUGGCCAAAGCAAGAGUAGCUCCAACAAAGGUAACAAGCAUCCCAAGGCUAGAGCUUUCAGCCGCCGUGUUAGCAACCAAACUAAGUGUCCUACUGAAUCGUGAGCUUGAAAUGAAAAUUGAUAAAGAAUUCUUCUGGACGGACUCACAAGUCGCACUGGGAUACAUAAACAACGAGGCACGUAGAUUUCACAUCUUCGUCGCAAACCGUGUCCAGUUGAUCAGAGAGAACACAGAUCCCAACCAGUGGCACUACGUCGACACAGUAGAGAAUCCAGCAGAUCAUGCCUCCAGAAGCCUUCAGGCAACACAAAUCCGUACAUCAAACUGGCUUCAAGGACCCACAUUUCUCAAAGAACAAGAGGUUCAUCCUGAAACUAACAUCAUAAGGGAGCUGCUUGUUGGCGACCCUGAAGUUAAAGUGAUUCUAGCAUGUACCACCAAGUCCAGCGACAGCUCAGAUCUCCUUAACCGUCUAAGUCAAAUCCCUUCAUGGACUAAACUCGUAAAGGUAGUCGCAAGAAUCAAGAGACUAAGAUCCAAACAACCGCACACAGAGCUGGUAACAGUCACGGAGAGAGAAAAGGCUGCUGAAAUCAUCCUAAAUCUCGUUCAACAGCAAGCAUUCUCCAAGGAGUUGAAGACAAUCAAGAAGGGAGAGUGUCUACCACGCUCAAGCUCUCUUUCCUGUCUUGAUCCAAUCUUGCGGACAAAUCUACUCUGUGUUGGUGGGAGGCUGAAGAAGUCAACACUCAGUGAAGAGCUAAAACACCCCAUCAUUCUCCCAAAGGAAGGCCGCGUCACAGAGCUUAUCCUAGCCCACUGUCACACCGAGACCCGCCAUCAAGGAAGAGGCCAAACACAGAUGGAACUCAGGGCAAAGGGGUUCUGGAUUGUUGGUGGGAGCAGAUUAGUGGCCGAGUACAUCCACAACUGUGUACAGUGCAGAAAACUAAGGCGACCUACAGAAAAUCAACGGAUGGCUGAACUCCCCGAGGAGCGUGUGGAAGCUUCAGGACCCUUCACAUACAGCGGGAUGGAUUGCUUUGGGCCAUUUAUAAUAAAAAGGACUCGUAAGGAGUACAAAAGAUAUGGCCUUAUAUUCACAUGCCUUGCUUCACGUGCCGUCCAUAUUGAAAUGCUUGAAGACCUGUCUACCGAUUCAUUCCUCAAUGCUCUCAGAUGUUUCAUCAGUCUCAGGGGAGCUGUUCGCCUACUCCGCUGUGAUCAGGGUUCGAACUUCAUUGGAGCCAAUAACGAACUGAAAGAAGCACUCAAACAAUGUGACACCAGACUCCUGGAAUUAUUCCUGGCCGAUCAACAGUGUGAGUUUGUCUUCAAUACUCCCGCAGCAAGUCAUACAGGUGGCGUCUGGGAGAGACAGAUAAGGACUGUGAGGAACAUUCUGAAGGCCACUCUUGCUCAGUGUCCUGGAAGACUGGACGAUCCCUCACUCAGAACGCUUUUCUAUGAAGCAAUGGCCAUUGUCAAUAGUCGUCCCCUAACGAUCGAUGGAAUCAAUGAUCCCAAAGCACUCGAACCACUCACACCCAACCAUCUCAUCAUGAUGAAGUCAAAGAUCCCUCUACCGCCACCUGGGAAAUUCGUGAAGGAGGAUAUGUAUGCUUCCAAGAGAUGGCGCAGAGUCCAGUACUUAAUAGAGCAGUUCUGGGGGCGCUGGAAAAGGGAGUACCUAAUGAACCUCGCAAUCAGACAAAAGUGGCUCAAACCACGUCGCAAUUUCAAAACCGAUGACAUCGUCAUAAUCAAGGAUGACAACCUCCCCAGAAGCCAGUGGCUAUUAGGAAGAGUCGUGGAAGCCAUUCAAGGGAGUGACGGAGUUGUCAGAAAAGUCAAAAUCCAAACCGGAGAACACAAACUGAAAACACAAGGUCAUUCAUCCAAACCUUCGAUCAUCGAGAGGCCAAUUCAGAAAUUAGUGCUUCUUCUCGAGAAAGAAUAAACUUUUCAAACUAAUAUCAGUUGCAGAUUAGGUGGUUGUAAUCCUGCAUUUGUAUUGAGGAGGUUCAAGGCAGGAUUAGGUGGGAGUGUAAAUGCAGCUAAUCUGCACAAAUACUAUGUCUUAUGUUUUAAAUAAUUCUGUUCAAUAUAAAUGUAACUGUUAAACAAGAUAGAGCAAUGUUAUAAGAGCCUUUAUUUUGUUGAAGUAUCUCAAGUCGUCAGAGGGUGGCACUGUGUUACUAGACCAUGCACGCACGUUAGCCGAGGAAGUCAAGGCAAAGCUCAGACACAGCAGAGAACACUGAACACUGCCUCGUUCCUUUCCCACACUAAAAACGAACUUUGGAGCCUGAUUCAUGAAGGAAAAUUAAACACAACGGUUUCAGAGUGUCGCAGCUGCAGCUUUCAAGCUUAGACCAUCAUUGUUUAGCACCCUUGGUCGGCGGAAUAAGGUAAUAGGAUGAGGUUUAUAUUUGGGUUUAUAAAAUGUAUUUUAUUUCUGUCACGUUUCAUUGUAAUUAUACAUUUGAUGCUCUAAAAUUGUCAAUCUCCAUGUACAAUAUAUUUUGUGAACCUAGACAGAAUAUAUUCUGAUAUCGUGUACAAUUGUUUGUCUAGUUUUCACGAUGCUCAGAGAGGAGAAGGCGAAGGUGGAGAAAAAUAAAGGCAACUAGAGCAUCA